ACUACAGCGUUUUGUGCU
rnacentral:piRNA from 1 species